rnacentral:rRNA from 7 species
CCUUCCGUAGGGUGAACCUGCGGAAGGAUCAUUA